CCCUGCUGGAUAUCUGCUUGGAUCCAAGGCUGUGACAAUGGGAGAAGCAAGACUUUCUGGGUGUUAAUGCUGUGGCCCCUCCACUAUAGGCUCAGGUUGUAUAUAGGUGUAAAUAAAACAAUAUUUCAUAAAGACACCAUGGUCUCUCCUUCCAGGGAAGCCAAAUCCUGGGUAAGCGCGUGGAACCCCUAGAAUCUCGCAGCGCACGGGGAUUGGGGUGGCCUGCCACAAGACAAUCUCCGCUUGCUGAACCCUGUCCACCAAAAGAUAUCACAGCCAAUAACUACUAGCUCUGGAUGAUGCUCAUGCUUGGGUAAACAUGCAGCCACUAAGAAUAUCUAUUUUCCAAUUAAAUGCAAAGGCAGCUGAUGUCAUUUUGCAGAGGCAACUAUUUAUUGCAGCCUGUCAAGAUCUUUCAACAUCAGAUUACAGCGAUGGCACCUUAAAAUCAAAUUCAGUAUGCUCCAAGAACCGAAGCUCAAGUUGUCACAUUCGCUUAACACAAUGAACUGCUAGAAAUAAAGAUACACCCGCAAAAUCCUCACAACUGAAUGCCCUCCUUUUUCAGCUAUUAUUUCCUACCCUGAUCUGUAUCAAAAGUUUGCUGUUGCUAAUAAAUUGUAAUUAAAGCCA